rnacentral:rRNA from 1 species
CUGGACCUAGCGGCGGACGGGUGAGUAAUGCUUAGGAAUCUGCCUAUUAGUGGGGGACAACAUCUCGAAAGGGAUGCUAAUACCGCAUACGUCCUACGGGAGAAAGCAGGGGAUCUUCGGACCUUGCGCUAAUAGAUGAGCCUAAGUCGGAUUAGCUAGUUGGUGGGGUAAAGGCCUACCAAGGCGACGAUCUGUAGCGGGUCUGAGAGGAUGAUCCGCCACACUGGGACUGAGACACGGCCCAGACUCCUACGGGAGGCAGCAGUGGGGAAUAUUGGACAAUGGGGGGAACCCUGAUCCAGCCAUGCCGCGUGUGUGAAGAAGGCCUUAUGGUUGUAAAGCACUUUAAGCGAGGAGGAGGCUACUUUAGUUAAUACCUAGAGAUAGUGGACGUUACUCGCAGAAUAAGCACCGGCUAACUCUGUGCCAGCAGCCGCGGUAAUACAGAGGGUGCGAGCGUUAAUCGGAUUUACUGGGCGUAAAGCGUGCGUAGGCGGCUUAUUAAGUCGGAUGUGAAAUCCCCGAGCUUAACUUGGGAAUUGCAUUCGAUACUGGUGAGCUAGAGUAUGGGAGAGGAUGGUAGAAUUCCAGGUGUAGCGGUGAAAUGCGUAGAGAUCUGGAGGAAUACCGAUGGCGAAGGCAGCCAUCUG